CCUACGGGUGGCAGCAGUGAGGAAUAUUGGUCAAUGGACGAGAGUCUGAACCAGCCAAGUCGCGUGAAGGAUGACUGCCCUAUGGGUUGUAAACUUCUUUUGUCUGGGAAUAAAAUGUUCCACGUGUGGGUUUUUGUAUGUACCAUAUGAAUAAGGAUCGGCUAACUCCGUGCCAGCAGCCGCGGUAAUACGGAGGAUCCGAGCGUUAUACGGAUUUAUUGGGUUUAAAGGGAGCGUAGGUGGAUUGUUAAGUCAGUUGUGAAAGUUUGCGGCUCAACCGUAAAAUUGCAGUUGAAACUGGCAGUCUUGAGUACAGUAGAGGUGUGCGGAAUGCGUGGUGUAGCGGUGAAAUGCUUAGAUAUCGCGAAGAACUCCGAUUGCGAAGGCAGCUCACUGGACGGCAACUGACACUGAGGCUCGAAAGUGUGGGUAUCGAACAGGAUUAGAUACCCUUGUAGUC
rnacentral:rRNA from 1 species